rnacentral:tRNA from 1 species
UCCCUGGUAGCUCAACUGGCAAAGAACCUGCCUGCAAUGCAGGAGACCUGGGUUCGACCCCUGGGUUUGGGAA